UACGGGGGGGGGCAAGCGUUGUUCGGAAUUACUGGGCGUAAAGGGCUCGUAGGCGGCCAACUAAGUCGGAUGUGAAAUCCCCAAGCUUAACUUGGGAACUGCAUCCGAUACUGGAUGGCUUGAAUCCGGGAGAGGGAUGCAGAAUUCCAGGUGUAGCGGUGAAAUGCGUAGAUAUCUGGAGGAACACCGGUGGCGAAGGCGGCAUCCUGGACCGGCAUUGACGCUGAGGCGCGAAAGCUAGGGGAGCAAACGGG
rnacentral:rRNA from 1 species